rnacentral:lncRNA from 1 species
AAAAGAUGGCUAAGGAUUCAAGCGUUUGAUUGUCACAGGUUGAACAAAUGUUGUAAAUUUUGACCUCCAGUGCUCUCUUUAAAAAAUUCAUAAGAUGGCAAGCUUAUCAUGGUCAAAAUAUUUCAUGAGGUGAAAAAAAGUUCCAUACCAUAAUAAUUAUGUAAAAUGAAAAAAAUAAUAAAGUCACUUUGAGUCAAAUGUUUGAGCCGAAGCGUUCUCAGACUACCAAAAGUGCUAAUUAUUACAACAACAUUCAAGUUUCAUCAAAUCUGCCAAACAUUGGAAAUUAUUCCACUCUGUUUGCAAAAAAACAGAAAAAGUCAGACUCACUGAUCACAAUGUUUAAAGAUCUGAAUACAACUUGAUAUCACUCUUUAGACUUUAAGAAUAAAAUAUAGCCUAAUUGAUAAAUAAGAAAAAUCACUGACUUGUGACCAAAAAUUCAAAAGCUGUUUAAUUAAUAUGAGGCAGGCAUUACCUGUAAAUGGGGACGAAGUCUGUAUGAAUUAUUUUUUUUGUAACUUAAAUAUUUGCUAAAAAAAAGAAAAGAAAAUACUGUAACGUUUCCGAUUUUGGUUCUGUUGUAAGGGAUUUUAGUUGUGACGUUAUUUAAGUUAUGACAUCAUAUGCAAUGUAAACAAAGAAACGCUAUCAUCAGGUAACGUUUUUUCAUAUCAAGGAAUUAUUAAAAAUGAAAUUGGUAUUGUGUUCCUUCCUAUUUUAUACUAGACUGAUAAAUAUAUAUUUUACUCAAAGUUUCAUACAAACGAGACCGUAAAAAGGAAAUACAUUGUAGAUUUCUGCUCAUAUGCAGGAAUUCAAAACAUGACAUCAAAAAAAUUGAACGAUUUUGAGUUCAUUAGUACAAUGAAAAUUUCGGAAAAAUUUUCCUGAUUUUUUUUUUUUUUUGUAUUGAUUUUU